GAUGAACGCUGGCGGCGUGCCUAAUACAUGCAAGUCGAGCGGUAAGGCUCUCACUCUGUACUUAAAGAUUUGAGUAUGGUGUGAGAGUACACGAGCGGCGGACGGCUGAGUAACGUGUAGGAACGUACCCCAAAGUGAGGGAUAAGCACCAGAAAUGGUGUCUAAUACCGCAUGUGGUCUACGGAUUAAAGCUUCGGCGCUUUGGGAACGGCCUGCAUAUGAUUAGCUUGUUGGUGAGGUAACAGCUCACCAAGGCGACGAUCAUUAGCUGGUCUGAGAGGAUGAUCAGCCAGACUGGGACUGAGACACGGCCCAGACUCCUACGGGAGGCAGCAGUAGGGAAUUUUCCACAAUGGGGGCAACCCUGAUGGAGCAACGCCGCGUGCAGGAUGAAUGCCUUCGGGCUGUAAACUGCUUUUAUCUGUGACGAUUAUGACGGUAGCAGAUGAAUAAGGAUCGGCUAAUUCCGUGCCAGCCGCCGCCG
rnacentral:rRNA from 1 species